CUUGCAGAUGGAGGUCUGCAGAAAUCCUUCUACGUGGAACAAAGUCCAGAGGCUGAGUCCGUCCUGCCGGGCGACUCGGUGACCCUCCAGUGUUCUCUGGUCUCCAGGGACAAAGACGACGGGGUCCAGUGUCCACAUGGACGCAGCGUGUUCUGGUUCAGAUCUGGAUCAGGAGGAUCCCAUCCAGGCUUCAUUUACACUCAGGAUACACAACCGGGGAACACAAGUUGUGUCUACCGUCUGUCCAAAAGGAUCCAGAGCUCCUCUGAUGCUGGGACUUACCACUGUGCCGUGGCCUCAUGUGGAGAGAUCCUGUUUGGUGGAGGAACCAGAGUGGACACAAGUGUCAAACUGGAAAUGCUUGUCAUAGUUCUUGGUGUCCUGUUGGCUUGCUGUGUGACUGUGAUCAUCCUCCUUAUUUUCUACAUGAAUCAAAGGAGAGUUAAAGAAGCAACAAGUGUCGCCUGUAAUCCUGCACAAACCCAGUGGACAGCAGUUUAAUCAGCUAAUCAGG